rnacentral:rRNA from 1 species
GUUUAUUUGAAUUAAAGAUUUAUCGGUAACGAGUGGGGAUGCGUGACAUUAGGUAGAUGGCGGGGUAACGGCCCACCAUGCCUACGAUGUCUAGGGGUUCUGAGAGGAAGGUCCCCCACACUGGAACUGAGACACGGUCCAGACUCCUACGGGAGGCAGCAGUGAGGAAUAUUGGUCAAUGGUCGGAAGACUGAACCAGCCAAGUAGCGUGAAGGAUGAAGGUUCUAUGGAUUGUAAACUUCUUUAUACGGGAAUAAAACCUCCUACGUGUAGGAGCUUGUAUGUACCGUAUGAAUAAGCAUCGGCUAACUCCGUG